GACGAACGCUGGCGGCGUGCUUAACACAUGCAAGUCGAACGAUGAAGCGGUGCUUGCACCGUGGAUUAGUGGCGAACGGGUGAGUAAUACGUGAGUGACCUACCUUUGACUCUGGGAUAAGCCUGGGAAACUGGGUCUAAUACCGGAUACGACCAAUCUCUGCAUGGGGUGUUGGUGGAAAGCGUUAUGGAGUGGUUUUAGAUGGGCUCACGGCCUAUCAGCUUGUUGGUGAGGUAAUGGCUUACCAAGGCGACGACGGGUAGCCGGCCUGAGAGGGUGACCGGCCACACUGGGACUGAGACACGGCCCAGACUCCUACGGGAGGCAGCAGUGGGGAAUAUUGCACAAUGGGCGCAAGCCUGAUGCAGCGACGCCGCGUGAGGGAUGACGGCCUUCGGGUUGUAAACCUCUGUUAGCAUCGAAGAAGCGAAAGUGACGGUAGGUGCAGAGAAAGCGCCGGCUAACUACGUGCCAGCAGCCGCGGUAAUACGUAGGGCGCGAGCGUUGUCCGGAAUUAUUGGGCGUAAAGAGCUUGUAGGCGGUUGGUCGCGUCUGCUGUGAAAGGCCGGGGCUUAACUCCGGUUUUGCAGUGGGUACGGGCUAACUAGAGUGCAGUAGGGGAGACUGGAAUUCCUGGUGUAGCGGUGGAAUGCACAGAUAUCAGGAGGAACACCGAUGGCGAAGGCAGGUCUCUGGGCUGUAACUGACGCUGAGAAGCGAAAGCAUGGGGAGCGAACAGGAUUAGAUACCCUGGUAGUCCAUGCCGUAAACGUUGGGCACUAGGUGUGGGGGACAUUCCACGUUUUCCGCGCCGUAGCUAACGCAUUAAGUGCCCCGCCUGGGGAGUACGGCCGCAAGGCUAAAACUCAAAGGAAUUGACGGGGGCCCGCACAAGCGGCGGAGCAUGCGGAUUAAUUCGAUGCAACGCGAAGAACCUUACCAAGGCUUGACAUGCAUUAGAUCGCGUCAGAGAUGGCGUUUCCCUUCGGGCUGGUGUACAGGUGGUGCAUGGUUGUCGUCAGCUCGUGUCGUGAGAUGUUGGGUUAAGUCCCGCAACGAGCGCAACCCUCGUUCUAUGUUGCCAGCGGUUCGGCCGGGGACUCAUAGGAGACUGCCGGGGUUAACUCGGAGGAAGGUGGGGAUGACGUCAAAUCAUCAUGCCCCUUAUGUCUUGGGCUUCACGCAUGCUACAAUGGCCGGUACAGAGGGUUGCGAUACUGUGAGGUGGAGCUAAUCCCUUAAAGCCGGUCUCAGUUCGGAUUGGGGUCUGCAACUCGACCCCAUGAAGUCGGAGUCGCUAGUAAUCGCAGAUCAGCAACGCUGCGGUGAAUACGUUCCCGGGCCU
rnacentral:rRNA from 1 species